rnacentral:lncRNA from 1 species
CUAUAGAUUUUUUCAUGGCGACAUUCAAUUUCCAAUCACUGUUCAAGUGAAUGAAUGUGGGCCUGUUUUAUUUCGCGUGUGCGGUUGAUAGGUUGGCAUUGAAAAAAACAUGUCAUACCACUAUUCAUGAAAAAAUUUAUUACUAAAACAAUUAAUGGAGAACAUUAGAAAAUAUGGAAAAAAAAAAAAAAAAAAAAAAGAAGAAGUAGCAUACCCAAAAGUUCAAGGAGAUUUGAUUUCAAACCUUGCAAGAAACCUACCACUGCAAUGGAAAUUCAAAAUCUAAAUAUAAGAUGGUGAAAACUGUAUGUAUCUCUCUGUUAAUUAGAUGAUGACAAAAUGUGUAGAAGGGAAGAAGUAUUAGCUCACUUGAAAAUUUCCAUAAAAUGGGUGCAAGGAAUAUUGAGAUACAUACAUGGUAUAAUGAAUUCGAUUAAUC